rnacentral:rRNA from 1 species
CACGUAGGGGGCAAGCGUUGUCCGGAUUUAUUGGGCGUAAAGAGCGUGUAGGCGGCCGGUAAGGUCCGUUGUGAAAACUCGAGGCUCAACCUCGAGACGUCGGUAUGAAACCAUCUGGCUAGAGUCCGGAAGAGGAGAGUGGAAUUCCGUGUGUGACGGUGAAAUGCGCAGAUAUCGAAGGAAGAACCAGCCGUAGGCGGAAGCGCGUCGUCUGGGACG